UCCGAGUUGUCCCCGGCAGUCCCCUUAGAGUCCCCGACAUCACUCGCUGGCAACAUGGAACAGGGGUUGCGCUCGUUGCGCCACUUAAGGCAACACCUCACGGCACGAGCUGACGACAGCCAUGCAGCACCUGUGCAGGCUCCCGAAGGAGCCCCGUGUUUCCACGGGUUUACCCUGCAUGUCAAGCCCUGGUAAGGUUCUUCGCGUUGCGUCGAAUUAAGCCACAUACUCCACCGCUUGUGCAGGCCCCCGUCAAUUUCUUUGAGUUUUAAUCUUGCGACCGUACUCCCCAGGCAGGGCACUUAAUGCGUUAGCUACGGCGCCGGGGGAGUCGACACCCCCAACACCUAGUGCCCAUCGUUUACGGCGUGGACUAC
rnacentral:misc_RNA from 1 species